GGUUUCGGCUCUUGUAAUUUGGGAAUUCCUUUGCCCUUUCUUAUUUCAUCCAGCUCUAGGAGUAUCUCUAGUUCCUCAAGCUGGCUACCUUUGGUGCUUUUUGCCUCUAGCUGGUAACGUGUUGGGUGCCUAAUCUCCAUCUUUCAUGGCGGCCUCUUCCUCUUGCAAGGAUUAGGAACUAAUGAAUGGAGCUACAACUGGUUUUCUUGUUGACAAUAUUAGGAAACCUGCUGUGACUGCUCUUCAUGCGCCAAGGAAAUUUAUUCUCUGGAGGCCAUAUAUUAAUAUUAUUUACUCCUUAUUCUGAAGCUUUCUGGUAUCUGUUGGUCUCCAAAAUGCCAAGUAUAUUAUCAUUAAACUUUCUAAUGACAUGGAUUAGUGUUAUAUUUUCUACCAUCGAGCCUAUUGUAUCGAUAACUGUAUGAGCCUAUGGCGUUGAUAACAGGCAAAUGAGACUCUUUAAAUAGACGCUUUACUUUGAUAUUUAGGUGAAUCUCUUCUUGUCCC